rnacentral:rRNA from 1 species
UGGGAAAUAUUGCACAAUGGGCGCAAGCCUGAUGCAGCCAUGCCGCGUGUGUGAAGAAGGCCUUCGGGUUGUAAAGCACUUUCAGCGAGGAGGAAGGGUAGUGUGUUAAUAGCACAUUGCAUUGACGUUACUCGCAGAAGAAGCACCGGCUAACUCCGUGCCAGCAGCCGCGGUAAUACGGAGGGUGCAAGCGUUAAUCGGAAUUACUGGGCGUAAAGCGCACGCAGGCGGUUUGUUAAGUCAGAUGUGAAAUCCCCGCGCUUAACGUGGGAACUGCAUUUGAAACUGGCAAGCUAGAGUCUUGUAGAGGGGGGUGGAAUUCCAGGUGUAGCGGUGAAAUGCGUAGAGAUCUGGAGGAAUACCGGUGGCGAAGGCGGCCCCCUGGACAAAGACUGACGCUCAGGUGCGAAAGCGUGGGGAGCAAACA